rnacentral:pre_miRNA from 1 species
UUAGUACUCCCUCCGUCCGGAAAUAUUUGUCAUCAAAAUGAAUAAAAAGAGAUGUAUUUAGAACUAAAAUACAUCUAGAUACAUCCCCUUUUAUCCAUUUUGAUGACAAGUAUUUCCGGACGGAGGGAGUACCUA